UACAGAGGUCUCAAGCGUUGUUCGGAUUCAUUGGGCGUAAAGGGUGUGUAGGUGGCGCCGUAAGUCGGGUGUGAAAUUUCGGAGCUUAACUCCGAAACUGCAUUCGAUACUGCGGUGCUUGAGGACUGGAGAGGAGACUGGAAUUCAUGGUGUAGCAGUGAAAUGCGUAGAGAUCAUGAGGAAUACCGAUGGCGAAGGCAGGUCUCUGGGCUGACACUGACGCUCAUGCACGAAAGCGUGGGGAGCAAACAGG
rnacentral:rRNA from 1 species